GCGAGUUUAUACGCUGCUAUACAGUUGUACAAGUUGUGUGGCGAGAACUGAUGAAGGUCACGAAGGGAGAUAAUUACCCCACGUAAUUACGUGAAAAAAUAAGUCACAGAUGAAAGAGAAUUUUUUCAAAUACCAAAAGUCUGAUUCACAGUAAUCGAAUGUAAUCAUUGAGAUAUCGUCGUGGAUUACGUAAAUCAUGCUAAGCACCUUUCAUAGCUAUUCACAGUGAUCAGCAGAAUACCUACAACAUCAGAAAUGCGGAUAUUGCGUCAGUAAACGAAGCCGUAUACUGCGACUGAAACUUAAACUCUGGACUGCCUUUGUUAUUUUUUCUUAUUUGACGCGGUAUUGUGUAAAUAUCAUCUAACUGAGGUAGUAAGGAUGCUCCAAGGUUUUUCCUACUUAGGCGCCACUGCGCAAUAACAAAGAACUCGCGCAUAAGUAAUAUGGAUCGAAUCGCAUGACGAUGACCAACCGCGAAUCGUCUAUGCAUUUGGGUUUCAUUUAUUAAUCCCUCCCGAUCGAUAUACUGCCUCACUUAAGUCUUCGUUUACUUAUUCAAUUGCCAAUCCAUUCUACGUGCAUUUACUUUCGCACGGUACAUAUUUAUCAGGCUCGUCGCCAUUAUAGUUAUUAUGUAUACAAUCAACGGUGUUAAUUCGCCCGGGGAAUCCAAUAACGGAGCGCGUAUAAUUACGUGAUAAAUAGCCACGUGUGUGGCAUUUUCGAACAUUAGUUGCUGGCAACGGUCUCUUGCCGAGAAUAGGACGGAUGAAAGCGAGACAAAACCGAUCUUCUGCGAGAAAUGUAUACCAUUCUUGCGCUAAUGUUGUGUCUAUAAUAGAAAUGUUCGAAUAAAGAGUUUUUUUUUUUAUUUCGAAUCGAACCGAAUCAACAAAAUUUUACGCGAAUCGAAUCGUUGAAAUAUAACUUUAUUAAUAAUGUAUUUUUAUGAAAAAUUAGGCUUUCCUGUGUAUUUUAAAUUUAUUUGUUAAAAUCUAUUCAGCAAUGUUUACUUGGCGGAUAUAUAGCAAAAUAAGCCUUAUCUUCGAUGUUUGAUGCUUUUCUAUUCUUUUAAUCUUUAUAAUGUGGAUGCACUGGGUUAUUUAUUAGUGAGAAAUAAUAUAAUUUUAUAAUAGGUACUUUUGAAAAAAAAGAAGUGAUAAAGCGUUUCAAUAAACUGAUUAUUAUAUCAGUAACACUGACAACAUUUCAUCAGCUAAUUGAUCAAUAAUCAGUUGAUUGAAACAUUUUUUCAAGGAUAUGAUCGUGUGAUUUUCUUACAUUUUAAAUUUUCGAAUAAUUUCGAUUCGAAUCAGAUAGAUUGCAACGAUUUGAAUUUCGAAUAAUUCUCUAGUCUAUAAUUUAUAUUGAAAUCAUGAGGCGUGGUCGCGAUUUGUGUCAUGUGAACGCAUUAGCAAGAGAUAAAAGAAACUGUAAGUUUCGUAAUGAACCAUCAAAACUUGAAAUAAAUGAGGAUGUAGAAAAAGUAUGUUAGACUGCUCUUUGAAAUUCCAACUCGUGGACGCUUUAUCAUUCGCGUGUAAAUCCGUCGCAAUCUGAAUAUCACGACCCUGUGUGUAUUUUAUAAUCUUUAUCUUCUUUCUUUUGGAUGCGAUGACUGUUUCCGGGCGGAUUGAACUCUAAACACGGAAACGAAGCAAUUGGAUCGCUUUUAACAAGUUGCUAUGCGGAAAGUAAGUGGGACAUGCUUUCACAAUACUUUCCAGAGAGGUAAAAGUCGAAUAUAUGUUACCGAAAAAAAAUUAGAUAAUCUAUGAAUGCAUGUUUGUCUAAUCGCAAGUAAAAGUUUUCAUUCUCUAAUCUUUAAAUCCGUAUUUCUUAAUCCUUUGUCAAUGGUUACCUAAUUUUUCUAAUGUUUUUCUAAUGUGCUUUCUCUAAUCUUUCUAAUGUGUUUCUAUUCAGAGAAGAAAGAUUUUGAAUGAGGCGCGUUGUGCAAUCCUUUUUUACUUAUUUAUUUGUAUGCGCUGGGAAAAAAGAUUCCUAAAUUUUAAUAUUUAUUGGAACAGUACUAACAAAAUAUUUACUUACGGUACAUAAAUAUGUCUACAAGAAAAAAUAAUACUUAAAUUGGUGGUUCUUGUACUGAAUAAAUACAUAUUUACAUUUAGUAAAUAUUUUAUUAAUACUAUUCAAAUAAAUAUUGUAUUUAUAAAAAUUUAGUAAUUUUUUUCUCUGUAUAUCCACUUUUGUAUUCAAUACUUUGUAUUUCUUUUUCUGCUUGAAUCUUUUUCCUUCUACCUUGUACUUUAUUUAAUACUUUAUAUUUCUUUCUUAAGCAGGGUUUCUACGACAUUUCUUUUCCUUCUUCAGAUACAUCUUCGAGCUCGUGGUAUCAUUUUGGUUUCUUCGACACCUCGCUUGGGAUUCUCGGCGACGAGACCGGUUUCUUGGCACCGUCACAAGCAAUCCUCGUAAAACGAAGACGUCGCCGGGCAAUCAGGACCGCUGCUUCCUCCACACGCAUGUCAAGCAUGACAGCGAUUUACGAGACGCAUUCGACACAGGGUGAAUGUACUUGGCACGAGACGUCAUUCCUCUGUUCGCACGUUCCCGCUAGUUUUCGAGGCGACGAGGAGGAGGAGAAAGAAGAGGAGGAGGAAGACGAGAGGAACAAAAAGGGAAGCUAGAGAUUUAACUCGACAUAUGUUCCAGGUGCAUUCCAGACCUAACGGAUCAUCUACCGAUCCAUAAAUUCGAACGAAGUCAAAUAUUAUCAUCAGAUUUCUCCACAACUAUGUAAAUCCACAAGUGAUAUAUCUGGUGAAGAUUCACGCUUAAUGUGAGUUUUAAAACUGAAAUAAAUGAGAAGAGAUGAAUAAGUGCCUCGCGUAAACAAAGGAUUGCUACGAGGAUUUUAUUUAUAAAACAUCUGUGGAGAAAGAGAAAGACAAAUAGAAAACGUUACGCACAGAA